rnacentral:rRNA from 1 species
UACGUAGGGUGCAGGCGUUAAUCGGAAUUACUGGGCGUAAAGCGUGCGCAGGCGGCUACCCAAGUCAGAUGUGAAAUCCCCGGGCUUAACCUGGGAACUGCGUUUGAAACUGGGUGGCUAGAGUGCGGCAGAGGGGGGUGGAAUUCCACGUGUAGCAGUGAAAUGCGUAGAUAUGUGGAGGAACACCGAUGGCGAAGGCAGCCCCCUGGGCCUGCACUGACGCUCAUGCACGAAAGCGUGGGGAGCAAACAGG